ACAAGCAGUGGGAGCCCCACCACCAAAGCAUUCUCUGGUGUUGAAGGCCCUGCAAAGCAGCAUCGCGGUGGCGGAGCGUCGUUUGCGACGCCCAACACACAAAACAAGCGGUGAGUGCUUUGGGGUGGGGUGACUGCGUACCUUUUGUAUAAUGGGUCAGCGACUUAUAUUCUGUAGCAAGGUUAACCGAAUAGGGGAGCCGUAGGGAAACCGAGUCUUAAUUGGGCGUUAAGUUGCAGGGUAUAGACCCGAAACCCGGUGAUCUAGCCAUGGGCAGGUUGAAGGUUGGGUAACACUAACUGGAGGACCGAACCGACUAAUGUUGAAAAAUUAGCGGAUGACCUGUGGCUGGGGGUGAAAGGCCAAUCAAACCGGGAGAUAGCUGGUUCUCCCCGAAAGCUAUUUAGGUAGCGCCUCGUGAAUUCAUCUCCGGGGGUAGAGCACUGUUUCGGCUAGGGGGCCAUCCCGGCUUACCAACCCGAUGCAAACUGCGAAUACCGGAGAAUGUUAUCACGGGAGACACACGGCGGGUGCUAACGUCCGUCGUGAAGAGGGAAACAACCCAGACCGCCAGCUAAGGUCCCAAAGUCAUGGUUAAGUGGGAAACGAUGUGGGAAGGCCCAGACAGCCAGGAUGUUGGCUUAGAAGCAGCCAUCAUUUAAAGAAAGCGUAAUAGCUCACUGGUCGAGUCGGCCUGCGCGGAAGAUGUAACGGGGCUAAACCAUGCACCGAAGCUGCGGCAGCGAACGUAUCACCCAAGACAACUUUACGGAGUUGACGAUUGACGGAGCGAAGCGACGUCAAAGCGUAU
rnacentral:rRNA from 1 species